UAAUGAUAGUGUACUUAUACUGACUUUGUUAGGAAUUCAAUAACUCUCUUGAAGUAACUUAGUAGCUUUGAAAAUACAGUUUUAAACUUUUGGUAAACAUUUCUGUAAAUUGCUGUUUUAGAAGGGAAGUCGGAUCAUUUGGUUGAGAGGAUUGGCCUUCACUGAAGCCAGAGUUAGAUUAGGUGUCUGCUGAGUCCGAAUCUCUGCCCCCACAAGCCGCUUCCUGGCUGCACGUGUCUCCAAUGGAACCCGGGGACAGAGUGCGGCUGCAACGAUUCACACCCUUCAUCCUGCCUUUGCAGGAAACACCUCCCCGCGUCAUCUGCGUGUGUGAAUGUGGAUCAUCAACGCUUUGGUCCUGGAUGAGCCAGGGCAGGAAACAGACUCAGAGGCGUUCAGUUAGUAAACACGAGCUGGAUUGCAAACCACACCCAUUGCUCUAACUUCCAGGCCACAUUCUCACGGGACCGUGUGUGGCUCAGCUGAACACCACAAAGAGGCCUGGUAAAGAUGUUAUGAAUUGAUGCCUGCAGUGUGCCCGGCCCCCCACAACAUCACGUGUGCCUUGAAUGAAUGUAGACGUGUAUGCAGCAGCUAAGAAUCAACUUCUUUUAUCAACAUUAAUCUGUUUAUUGAAGAAAAAUGUAAGACAAGGAUAAGAAUGUUGAAAAGCAUGCUGGAAGAAAAUAAAAUGCAUUAAUAUUGAAUGGA